UACGAAGGUGGCGAGCGUUGUUCGGAACCACUGGGCAUAAAGCGCACGUAGGCGGCGGCGUAAGUUGGAUGUGAAAUCCCCCGGCCCAACCGGGGAACUGCGUCCAGUACUGCGUUGCUUGAGGAUCCAAGGGGUGCAUGGAAUUCCCGGUGGAGCGGUGAAAUGCGUUGAUAUCGGGAGGAACUCCGGCGGCGAAAGCGGUGCACUGGUGGAUUACUGACGCUGAGGUGCGAAAGCCAGGGGAGCAAACGGG
rnacentral:rRNA from 1 species